UACGGAGGGUGCAAACGUUGCUCGGAAUCAUUGGGCGUAAAGCGCACGUAGGCGGCUCCUCAAGUCGGAUGUGAAAGCCCUGGGCUCAACUCAGGAAGUGCAUCCGAAACUGUGGAGCUUGAAUGCCGGAGGGGCCCAGAGAAUUCCCGGUGUAGAGGUGAAAUUCGUAGAUAUCGGGAGGAAUACCAGUGGCGAAGGCGCUGGGCUGGACGGUCAUUGACGCUGAGGUGCGAAGGCGUGGGGAGCAAACAGG
rnacentral:rRNA from 1 species